ACGAGCAAUUAGAGCUGAAAAAUGGAACCGGAAAUAUAUUUUCCGCUGUUUGAGACAACGAGAGCAAAGGGAAGAUUCCUAUACAGAUUAUUUGCAGUGUCUGUUUUUGUUGGUAUAUGUUUGAUAUGGGUAUAUAGAGCGACUCACAUACCAAAAGCUGGAGAAGAUGGAAGAUUUGGCUGGAUGUGCUUGUUCGCUGCCGAGUUAUGGUUCAGUUUUUACUGGUUCGUCACUCAGGCCGCUCGGUGGAGCCUCGUCUACAGGCACACCUUCAAGGACAGGCUUUCUCAAAGAUAUGAGAAAGAGUUGCCGGGGGUGGACAUAUUCGUGUGCACAGCUGAUCCGAUCAUAGAGCCGCCGAUGAAGGUGAUGAACACUGUCUUGUCCGUCAUGGCUUACGACUACCCACCGGAGAAGCUCAGCGUGUAUCUCUCCGAUGAUGGCGGCUCAGAGCUAACGUACUAUGCUCUACUGGAAGCAGCUGAGUUUGCUAAGCACUGGAUACCCUAUUGCAAGAAGUACAGUGUGGAACCAAGGUCGCCGGCUGCUUAUUUCAAUCAGGCUGGUGAUUUGGCUCUCAUCAAGAAACUAUACGAGGACAUGGCAACAAAAAUUGAAAAUGCAGUGAAGCUAGGCCGGAUUCCGGAAGAAGUAAGAUCAAAACGUAAUGGUUUUUCUCAGUGGGACUCAUAUUCAUCAAAACGUGACCAUGACACAAUUCUUCAAGUACUAAUUGAUGGGAGAGACCCAAAUGCAAGAGAUGUCGAAGGGCGUGUGUUGCCAACUUUGGUGUAUUUAGCUCGCGAGAAGAGACCCCAAUUUCACCAUAACUUCAAAGCUGGCGCUAUGAAUGCACUGAUUAGGGUAUCAUCGAGCAUUAGCAAUGGGAAGUUACUUCUUAAUGUAGACUGUGACAUGUAUUCGAACAACUCCAUGGCCAUAAGGGACGCACUUUGCUUCUUGAUGGAUGAAGAACAAGGCCAUGAGAUUGCAUACGUACAGUUCCCGCAGAAUUUCGACAACCUUACUAAGAAUGAAUUAUACGCUUCAUUACGAGUUCUUAAUGAGGUGGAAGGCCAUGGUCUGGAUAAUUAUGGGGGGAUGUUAUAUAUUGGAAGUGGCUGCUUUCACAGAAGAGAAACUCUUUGUGGGAAGAAAUGUAUCGAGGGAUGUAAGAGUGAAAUGAUGAAAUGGGAUAAAGAAAGAAGAGAAGAAAUCGCCAUUCAUGAAUUAGAAGAAACAUCAAAGAGUCUUGCAAGUUGUACAUUUGAAGAGAACACUAUAUGGGGAAAAGAGAUGGGAUUGAAAUAUGGGAGUCCCGUCGAAGAUGUGAUAACGGGGUUAUCGAUCCAAUGCCGAGGAUGGAAAUCAGUGCAUUGCAAUCCAACAAGAAAAGCUUUCUUAGGAUUAGCUCCAACCACAUUGCUUCAUGCACUUGUGAUGCAUAAGAGAUGGUCUGAGGGGAACCUUCAGAUUACUCUCUCUAAGUUCAAUGUCUUAUGGUAUGGCCACGGAAAGAUUAGUUUAGGCCAUCAACUUGGAUACCUUCGCUACAACCUAUGGGCAGCUAAUUGUUGGGCAACACUAAUCUACUCGAUUCUCCCUUCACUUAGCCUCCUUAGAGGCACAUCCUUGUUUCCUCAGAUUUCAAGCCGAUGGAUCAUACCAUUUGCGUAUGUUAUAAUUGACUAAGAACAGUUGGGAGCUUCGUGGAGUAUCGGUGGUGUGGAGGAACGAGCUUAGGUUGGUGGAACGAACAACGUAUAUGGCUUUACCAGAGAACAACCUCCUAUCUCUUUGCCUUCAUCGACACCAUUGUACACAACCUUGGAUACACUGAUUCAGGAUUUGUAAUAACAGUGAAGGUGUCCGAUGAAGAUGUGUCCGAACGAUACGAGAAAGAGAUCAUGGAAUUCGGGAGCUCGUCUCCAAUGUUCGUCGUGCUUGCAACACUUGCAUUGCUCAAUUUAUACUGCUUUGCCUGGUUUGUGAAGGAAGCAAUCACUGGAACAAAGGGCAUUGCAGAAGUUUAUGAGGCAAUGUUCUUGCAGAUUCUUCUAUGUGUGGUUUUGAUUGUCAUUAACCAACCGUUAUACGAAGCGCUAUACCUAAGGAUGGACAAGGGGAAGCUGCCGAGCUCUGUAGCAAUUAGGUCAAUGGCAUUUGCUGGAUUUGCUUGUUUAUGUUUCAAAUUUAUGUAAUGAACAUUUGGAAAAUAUAAUCUAGCUCUCUAUGUUUUGUAUCC